UAUAUGAGGAAGUAUAUUCCAUACAUCUGCUAGAGAGUGGAGGAGACGGAUGCUCGGAAAGGUAAACAUGGGGCGCGGACUCAUGUUUUUGGGGUUUUUAAUCAUUCAUGUUGAGCCCAGGGUUCCUUGCUUUGACUAAAAGACACAGAACGGAAGAGCUGUUUCCAUUUUAUAACCGUAGUUUCCAGUUCUUAGCCUCUUUAGCGGCUAUCGCCAGCUAAAAGCUAAUGUUAGUGCCUCCGUCAAGCUAGCGUCCGUUAGCCACAACGGGAGCGGAAGUGCUCAAAUUGAUCUACAUCGUAAAGGUUAAGUGCUCAGUGACUCAGUCUGUCCCGGUACAACCAGUAGAGUCCCGGACGUGUGUGUAAUAGAGUCCUGGGU